UUAAUGGAGAGUUUGAUCCUGGCUCAGGACGAACGCUGGCGGCGUGCCUAAUACAUGCAAGUCGAGCGGAUCUGUUCCUUCGGGGAUAGGUUAGCGGCGGACGGGUGAGUAACACGUAGGCAACCUGCCUGUAAGAUCGGGAUAACUACCGGAAACGGUAGCUAAGACCGGAUAGCUGGUUUCUUCGCAUG
rnacentral:ncRNA from 1 species